GAUCAAUAGCUGAUCUGAGAGGAUGAUCAGCCACAUUGGGACUGAGACACGGCCCAAACUCCUACGGGAGGCAGCAGUGGGGAAUCUUGCACAAUGGGGGAAACCCUGAUGCAGCGAUGCCGCGUGAGUGAAGAAGGCCUUUGGGUUGUAAAGCUCUUUCGUCGGGGAAGAAAAUGACUGUACCCGAAUAAGAAGGUCCGGCUAACUUCGUGCCAGCAGCCGCGGUAAUACGAAGGGACCUAGCGUAGUUCGGAAUUACUGGGCUUAAAGAGCUCGUAGGUGGUUAGAAAAGUUGGUGGUGAAAUCCCAAGGCUUAACCUUGGAACUGCCAUCAAAACUUUUUAACUAGAGUAUGAUAGAGGAAAGUGGAAUUUCUAGUGUAGAGGUGAAAUUCGUAGAUAUUAGAAAGAACACCAAUUGCGAAGGCAACUUUCUGGAUCAUUACUGACACUGAGGAGCGAAAGCAUGGGUAGCGAAGAGGAUUAGAUACCCUCGUAGUCCAUGCUGUAAACGAUGUGUGCUAGACGUUGGAAAUUUAUUUUUCAGUGUCGCAGCAAAAGCGUUAAGCACACCGCCUGGGGAGUACGACCGCAAGGUUAAAACUCAAAUGAAUUGACGGGGACCCGCACAAGUAGUGGAGCAUGUGGUUUAAUUCGAAGAUACGCGCAGAACCUUACCAACACUUGACAUGUUCGUCGCGACUCUAAGAGAUUAGAGUUUUCGGUUCGGCCGGACGAAACACAGGUGCUGCAUGGCUGUCGUCAGCUCGUGUCGUGAGAUGUUGGGUUAAGUCCCGCAACGAGCGCAACCC
rnacentral:rRNA from 1 species